rnacentral:rRNA from 1 species
UACGGAGGGUGCAAGCGUUAUCCGGAUUCACUGGGUUUAAAGGGUGCGUAGGCGGAUAGGUAAGUCAGGGGUGAAAUCUUUGGGCUCAACCCGGAGACUGCCUUUGAUACUAUCUAUCUUGAAUAUUGUGGAGGUUUGCGGAAUAUGUCAUGUAGCGGUGAAAUGCUUAGAUAUGACAUAGAACACCUAUUGCGAAGGCAGCAAACUACGCAUAUAUUGACGCUGAGGCACGAAAGCGUGGGGAUCAAACAGG